rnacentral:rRNA from 1 species
AUGAUCUAUUCUGUACGAUCUCGAAGACUGCUGCUUCUUUGGUCUGUUCACCAAGGUUUCCUCCCUUGUUUCUGUUAUGCUCUUGUGAUGCUCUGCGUCUGUGCUGAUCCACACAACUUGCUGGUCUCCAACUUAUUUAUUCUCUCACCCUCUGCAUUUGUGUAUGUAAUCAUGCAUACCCACUUAAAAAUGAACAAUGCUAAGCUGGAGCUGCAGCUGCAGGUAUAUUGCCUUACAAUACCCAUGGUGCCAGACGUGUUUUAUUCCACUGCUACCAAGAAGAUAAACGCGGCAGCUGAGCCUAUAGUUCCUGCUGAGAAACAUCCCAAUGUUGACAGCGACACUGCAAAUGGAGCUUCUCUAACCGCUAUCGAAGACACCGCUGUUCAUUUUAACCAGCCAAUAUGGAAGAGAAGAAGACGGAGCCAUAAACAAAAAUGA